rnacentral:tRNA from 1 species
GGCGGUGGCCUAGUCCGGCAUGGCGACGGGCUCCAGACUCGUCGAUCGGGGGUUCGAAUCCCUCUCGCCCCACCA